rnacentral:rRNA from 1 species
CAGGCUUAACACAUGCAAGUCGAGGGGCAGCAUGGUCUUAGCUUGCUAAGGCCGAUGGCGACCGGCGCACGGGUGAGUAACACGUAUCCAACCUGCCGUCCACUCUUGGACAGCCUUCUGAAAGGAAGAUUAAUACAAGAUGGCAUCAUGAGUCCGCAUGUUCACAUGAUUAAAGGUAUUCCGGUAGACGAUGGGGAUGCGUUCCAUUAGAUAGUAGGCGGGGUAACGGCCCACCUAGUCUUCGAUGGAUAGGGGUUCUGAGAGGAAGGUCCCCCACAUUGGAACUGAGACACGGUCCAAACUCCUACGGGAGGCAGCAGUGAGGAAUAUUGGUCAAUGGGCGAGAGCUUGAACCAGCCAAGUAGCGUGAAGGAUGACUGCCCUAUGGGUUGUAAACUUCUUUUAUAAAGGAAUAAAGUCGGGUAUGGAUACCCGUUUGCAUGUACUUUAUGAAUAAGGAUCGGCUAACUCCGUGCCAGCAGCCGCGGUAAUACGGAGGAUCCGAGCGUUAUCCGGAUUUAUUGGGUUUAAAGGGAGCGUAGAUGGAUGUUUAAGUCAGUUGUGAAAGUUUGCGGCUCAACCGUAAAAUUGCAGUUGAUACUGGAUAUCUUGAGUGCAGUUGAGGCAGGCGGAAUUCGUGGUGUAGCGGUGAAAUGCUUAGAUAUCACGAAGAACUCCGAUUGCGAAGGCAGCCUGCUAAGCUGCAACUGACAUUGAGGCUCGAAAGUGUGGGUAUCAAACAGGAUUAGAUACCCUGGUAGUCCACACGGUAAACGAUGAAUACUCGCUGUUUGCGAUAUACUGCAAGCGGCCAAGCGAAAGCGUUAAGUAUUCCACCUGGGGAGUACGCCGGCAACGGUGAAACUCAAAGGAAUUGACGGGGGCCCGCACAAGCGGAGGAACAUGUGGUUUAAUUCGAUGAUACGCGAGGAACCUUACCCGGGCUUAAAUUGCAGAUGAAUUACGGUGAAAGCCGUAAGCCGCAAGGCAUCUGUGAAGGUGCUGCAUGGUUGUCGUCAGCUCGUGCCGUGAGGUGUCGGCUUAAGCGCCAUAACGAGCGCAACCCUUGUUGUCAGUUACUAACAGGUUCCGCUGAGGACUCUGACAAGACUGCCAUCGUAAGAUGUGAGGAAGGUGGGGAUGACGUCAAAUCAGCACGGCCCUUACGUCCGGGGCUACACACGUGUUACAAUGGGGGGUACAGAGGGCCGCUACCACGCGAGUGGAUGCCAAUCCCCAAAACCUCUCUCAGUUCGGACUGGAGUCUGCAACCCGACUCCACGAAGCUGGAUUCGCUAGUAAUCGCGCAUCAGCCACGGCGCGGUGAAUACGUUCCCGGGCCUUGUACACACCGCCCGUCAAGCCAUGGGAGCCGGGGGUACCUGAAGUGCGUAACCGCGAGGAGCGCCCUAGGGUAAAACUGGUGACUGGGGC